rnacentral:tRNA from 1 species
GGAGGGGUGGCCGAGUCCGGUUGAAGGCACCGGUCUUGAAAACCGGCAAUCCGCAAGGAUUCGGGAGUUCGAAUCUCCCCCCCUCCGCCA